UAACAAGGUCUCCGUUGGUGAACCAGCGGAGGGAUCAUUACCGAGUUUACAACUCCCAAACCCCUGUGAACAUACCAAUUGUUGCCUCGGCGGAUCAGCCCGCUCCCGGUAAAACGGGACGGCCCGCCAGAGGACCCCUAAACUCUGUUUCUAUAUGUAACUUCUGAGUAAAACCAUAAAUAAAUCAAAACUUUCAACAACGGAUCUCUUGGUUCUGGCAUCGAUGAAGAACGCAGCAAAAUGCGAUAAGUAAUGUGAAUUGCAGAAUUCAGUGAAUCAUCGAAUCUUUGAACGCACAUUGCGCCCGCCAGUAUUCUGGCGGGCAUGCCUGUUCGAGCGUCAUUUCAACCCUCAAGCCCUCGGGUUUGGUGUUGGGGAUCGGCGAGCCCUUGCGGCAAGCCGGCCCCGAAAUCUAGUGGCGGUCUCGCUGCAGCUUCCAUUGCGUAGUAGUAAAACCCUCGCAACUGGUACGCGGCGCGGCCAAGCCGUUAAACCCCCAACUUCUGAAUGUUGACCUCGGAUCAGGUAGGAAUACCCGCUGAACUUAAGCAU
rnacentral:rRNA from 1 species